AGCUUGCUCCCCUGAGAUCAGCGGCGGACGGGUGAGUAACACGUGGGCAACCUGCCUGUAAGACUGGGAUAACUCCGGGAAACCGGGGCUAAUACCGGAUAACAUUUUCCACUGCAUAGUGGAGAAUUAAAAGAUGGCUCCGGCUAUCACUUACAGAUGGGCCCGCGGCGCAUUAGCUAGUUGGUGAGGUAAGGGCUCACCAAGGCGACGAUGCGUAGCCGACCUGAGAGGGUGAUCGGCCACACUGGGACUGAGACACGGCCCAGACUCCUACGGGAGGCAGCAGUAGGGAAUCUUCGGCAAUGGGCGAAAGCCUGACCGAGCAACGCCGCGUGAGCGAUGAAGGCCUUCGGGUCGUAAAGCUCUGUUGUUAGGGAAGAACAAGUACCGUUCAAAUAGGGCGGUACCUUGACGGUACCUAACCAGAAAGCCACGGCUAACUACGUGCCAGCAGCCGCGGUAAUACGUAGGUGGCAAGCGUUGUCCGGAAUUAUUGGGCGUAAAGCGCGCGCAGGCGGUCUCUUAAGUCUGAUGUGAAAGCCCACGGCUCAACCGUGGAGGGUCAUUGGAAACUGGGGGACUUGAGUACUGGAGAGGAGAGUGGAAUUCCAUGUGUAGCGGUGAAAUGCGUAGAUAUAUGGAGGAACACCAGUGGCGAAGGCGGCUCUCUGGCCAGUAACUGACGCUGAGGCGCGAAAGCGUGGGGAGCAAACAGGAUUAGAUA
rnacentral:rRNA from 1 species